rnacentral:rRNA from 1 species
GAUGAACGCUGGCGGCGUGCCUAAUACAUGCAAGUCGAGCGAACGGACGAGAAGCUUGCUUUUCUGAUGUUAGCGGCGGACGGGUGAGUACCACGUGGAUAACCUACCUAGAAGACUGGGAUAACUUCGGGAAACCGGAGCUAAUACCGGAUAAUAUUUUGAACCGCAUGGUUCAAAAGUGAAAGCCGGUCUUGAUGUCACUUAUAGAUGGAUCCGCGCUGCAUUAGCUAGUUGGUAAGGUAACGGCUUACCAAGGCAACGAUGCAUAGCCGACCUGAGAGGAUGAUCGGCCACACUGGAACUGAGACACGGUCCAGACUCCUACGGGAGGCAGCAGUAGGGAAUCUUCCACAAUGGGCGAAAGCCUGACGGAGCAACGCCGCGUGAGUGAUGAAGGUCUUCGGAUCGUAAAACUCUGUUAUUAGGGAAGAACAUAUGUGUAAGUAACUGUGCACAUCUUGACGGUACCUAAUCAGAAAGCCACGGCUAACUACGUG